rnacentral:rRNA from 1 species
UGGGGAAUAUUGGACAAGGGGCGCAAGCCUGAUCCAGCAAUGCCGCGUGUGUGAAGAAGGCCUUCGGGUUGUAAAGCACUUUUAUCAGGAGCGAAAUACUACCGAUUAAUACUCGGUGGGGCUGACGGUACCUGAGGAAUAAGCACCGGCUAACUUCGUGCCAGCAGCCGCGGUAAUACGAAGGGUGAAAGCGUUAAUCGGAAUUACUGGGCGUAAAGGGUGCGUAGGCGGUUAUUUAAGUCUGCCGUGAAAUCCCCGGGCUCAACCUGUGGAUGGCGGUGGAUACUGGAUAGCUAGAGUGUGUCAGAGGAUGGUGGAAUUCCCGGUGUAGCGGUGAAAUGCGUAGAGAUCGGGAUGAACAUCAGUGGCGAAGGCGGCCAUCCGGGACAACACUGACGCUGAAGCACGAAAGCGUGGGGAGCAAACA